rnacentral:rRNA from 1 species
UUAAACGUCCAUACCACGUUGAAUACACCGGUUCUCAUCCGAUCACCAAAGUUAAGCAACGUUGGGCGCAGUCAGAACUUGGAUGGGUGACCGCCUGGGAACACCGCGUGACGUUGGCU